GGCCGCUCAUCCUUCCCCCAAGACUGGGCCUUUGGCGGCUUUUGACUACCUGGAGGUCUAGCCCAGGGAAUGGCAAUCACUCUAGUUACUGCAGAAAACACCCCCAAGGAUACACCUUACUCUGGGAUGAGGGAUCAGGGAUGGGGUGAGCAUGCUAUCUCUAAGGACAGCAGAUGCUUUAUUCUCACUGCUCAGUCCCCCAGAAUCCCGGGCAGCCAUGAGUCAGCUGUGUGGUGUAGCCAGGCCGUGCUGCCUCUCUGAGCCGAGUUUCCUCACCUGCCGCAGGUGGACGGGAGCCCGAGGGCCCAUGAGACUCAAUCAUGGAUUCGAUGAUCUGGCCACUGCACCUCCCAGCGAGGUGAGCCUGUU
rnacentral:lncRNA from 1 species